CCCCAUUGUCCUAUCACCCCAUUCUGGACCCCAUUAUGACCCCUUUCUAUAUCCCAUUAUCCCAUUACCCAAUUGUGGACCCCAUUCCACAUCCCAUUAUCCCAUUACCCCAUUACAGACCCCAUUCCAUGCCCCAUUAUCCCAUUAUCCCAUUAUGGACCCCAUUAUGGACCCACUUCCAUGUCCCAUGACCCCAUUACCCCAUUAUGGACCCCAUUCCACAUCCCAUUAUCCCAUUACCCCAUUACAGACCCCAUUCCCUGUCCCAUUAUCUCAUUAUCCCAUUACAGAUCCCAUUCCAGGCCCCAUUAUCCCAUUAUCCCAUUAUUAGACCCCAUUAUGGACACACUUCUACGUCCCAUUACUCCACUAUGGACCCCAUUCCACAUCUCAUUACCCCAUUACCCCAUUAUGGACCCCAUUCCACAUCCCAAUAUCCCAUUAUCCUAUUACCCCAUUACAGACCCCAUUCCCUGUCCCAUUACCCCAUUAUGGACCCCCUUCCAUGUCCCAUUAUCCCAUUACCCCAUUACAGACCCCAUUCCCUGUCCCAUUAUCCCAUUAUCCCAUUNNNNNNNNNNNNNNNNNNNNNNNNNNNNNNNNNNNNNNNNNNNNNNNNNNNNNNNNNNNNNNNNNNNNNNNNNNNNNNNNNNNNNNNNNNNNCCAUCCUAUCGAUCCGUGCCUUAAUUAACACCCUGCAAUUAAUUAGAGGGUGGAUGAAUGCUCUCCCCCCCUCUCCCUCCCCCCCCAGGGCUCUGAUUGGGGUUUGUCCUUUCUUUUUUUUUUGGGGGGGGUUUGACCCAUUUGCUUUGCAACCCUGGGUUGGUGGCUGCAGGAUUGGUGCUGGUGCAAAAUGGUGGUGCAUGGUGCUGGUGCAAGGUGUGCGUGGUGCUGGUGCAAAAUGCUGGUGCACGGUGCUGCUGCGUGCUGCUGCAAGGUGUGCAUGUUGCUGGUGCAAAACGGUGGUGCACGGUGCUGGUGCAAGUUGUGCAUGGUGCUGGUACAAAAUGGUGGUGCAUGGUGCUGGUGCAAGGUGUGCACGGUGCUGGUGCAAGGUGUGCAUGGUGCUGGUGCAGAAUUGGUUGCAUGCUGCUGCUGUGUGCUGCUGCAAGGCGUGCAUGGUGUGCAUGGUGCUGCUGCAAGGUGUGCAUGGUGCUGGUGCAAAAUGCUGGUGCACUGUGCUGCUGCAUGCUGCUGCAAGGUGUGCAUGUUGCUGCUGCAAGGUGUGCAUGGUGCUGGUGCAAAAUGCUGGUGCAUGGUGCUGCUGUGUGCUGCUGCAAGGUGUGCAUGGUGCUGGUGCAGAAUUGGUUGCAUGCAUGGUGCUGGUGCACAAUGUUGGUGCACGGUGCUGUUGUGUGCUGGUGCAUGGGGUGCAUGGUGCUGGUGCACGGUGUGCAUGGUGCAAAAUGUUGGUGCACAGUGCUGCUGCAUGGUGUUGAGCAUGGUGUGCAUGGUGCUGCUGAGUGGUGCAGGUGCAUGGUGUGCAUGGUGCUGCGUGCUGCUGCAAGGCAUGCAUGGUGCUGGUGCAAAAUGCUGGUGCAUGGUGCUGCUGUGUGCAUGGUGUGCAUGGCGCUCCUGGAUGGUGCAGCUGCAAAACGUUGGUGCACGGUGCUGCUGCAAGGUGUGCAUGGUGUUGCUGCAUGGUGUGCAUGGUGCUGCUGCAUGGUGCUGCAUGGUGCUGCUGCAUGGUGUGCAUGCUGUUGGUGCUACUGCAGGCGUGCAUGGUGCUGGUGCAUGGUUUUGCUGCAUGAUGUCGGUGCAACAGUGCUGGUGCAUGGUGCUGGUGCACAACACCAGUGCACGAUGCUGCUGCAAGGUGCCCGCACUCCACAGCACGCUGCUUUGCAAAGCAACACAACACAAAAGCUGGGCAGUAAAAUGCAUCAAAUGCACCUGGGGUUGCAACAAAGCACCAUGCAGCGCCACGCAGCGCAGCACCGUGCAGAGUAGCACCAGGCAAUGCAGCAAAAUGUAAUGCAGCACCAGGCAAUGCAGCACCACGCAGCACCAUGCAGUGCAGGACGAUGCAAUGCAGCACCAUGCAAUGCAGCACCGUGCAGAAACACGCAGUGCAGCACAGUGCAAUGCAGCGCCACGCAAUGCAGCACAACACAGCGCAGUGCAAUGCAGCACAAUCCAGUGCAGCACAGUGCAACGAAGCACAAUGCAGCACAAUGCAAUGCAGCACAACGCAGUGCCGUGCAAUGCAGUGCUGCACAAUGCAGCACAGUGCAGCACAGUGCAGCACAAUGCAGCACAAUGCAAUGCAGCACAACACAGUGCCGUGCAAUGCAGUGCUGCACAAUGCAGCACAGUGCAGCACAGUGCAAUGCAGCACGAUGCAACGCAGCACGGCACAGUGCAGCGCACAAUGCAGCACAGUGCAGCACCCUGCAGCACCCUGCAGCGCAGCUCAAUGCGGCUCAACACGGUGCAGCA
ensembl:lncRNA